ensembl:lncRNA
GGAAUGUCUUUUAAAAAUGAUGUUUUUACAAUUGCUUCAGUUUGAAGAGUUGAGUUAACCACCAUCACCUCGCUCUCAUAGCAGCUUUGCUCCUGCUGAAUUGCAGCCAUUACCUGCAAUGGUACCCACUGUGGGCUCUGGGUCAGUGCUCACACCUCGGCUCAGGCAAAUGAUGGUAACUCAGUGUUCCAGAUGCGGCAUCCAUCAUGUGAGAAAGACGCAGAUGUCUCUUGGACAGGUUUCCUCCUUGGGUCACGGUAUGCUGAGCUGAGAGCUGCACCUGGCCUUGUCUCCAUUCCUCUUUGGGCAAAGAAAGUUGUCAGAAAUUUUUCCUGGGAAGGAGCUCCCAAAGAUCGCCAAGACUUCGGGUGUUGUAAUGAAAAUCUAUUGGUGAAGUUGGGGGUACACGUGGAUGGCUGCAGACACCCAAGGUCAGGCUGGAGGGGCUGUGGGUGUCCCUGCUCAGAGCAGGG